GGGGUGUGGCUGGGCCUGCAUGGACUGAUCACCCAUGAAAACUUCGGUUCGAAUCCGGAGCACUCCACCA
rnacentral:tRNA from 2 species